rnacentral:rRNA from 1 species
CCUACGGGUGGCAGCAGUGAGGAAUAUUGGUCAAUGGGCGCUAGCCUGAACCAGCCAAGUAGCGUGAAGGAUGACGGCCCUAUGGGUUGUAAACUUCUUUGAUAGGGGAAUAAAGUGCAGUAGGUAUACUGCUUUGCAUGUACCUUAUGAAUAAGGAUAGGCUAACUCCGUGCCAGCAGCCGCGGUAAUACGGCGGUUCCGAGGGUUAUCCUGAUUUGUUGGGUUGACAGGGAGCGUAGGCGGGUUGUUAAGUCAGUUGUGAAAGGUUGCGGCUCCACCGUAAAAUUGCAGUUGAUACGGGCAUCCUUGCGUACAGUAGAGGUAGGCGGAAUUCCUUGUGUAGCGGU